rnacentral:tRNA from 1 species
GCGAGGGUGGCGGAAUUGGUAGACGCGCACGAUUCAGGUUCGUGUGUCCAACGGAUGUGAGGGUUCGAGUCCCUCUCCUCGCA